GACGAACGCUGGCGGCGUGCUUAACACAUGCAAGUCGAACGGAAAGGCCUGCUUUCCCUUGUGGAUUGCGGGUACUCGAGUGGCGAACAGGUGAGUAACACGUGAUUGAUCUGCCCCCACCUUGGGUAUAAGCCUGGGAAACUGGGUCUAAUUCCCGAUAGGACUGCAGGGUGGUGCCUGUGGUGGAAAACGAUUUUCUAGUGGUUGGGGAUGAGCUCGCGGCCUAUCAGCUUGUUGGUGGGGUAAUGGCCUACCAAGGCGGCGACGGGUAGCCGGCCUGGGAGGGUGGACGGCCACAUUGGGACUGAGAUACGGCCCAGACUCCUACGGGAGGCAGCAGUGGGGAAUAUUGCACAAUGGGCGGAAGCCUGAUGCAGCGACGCCGCGGGGGGGAUGACGGCCUUCGGGUUGUAAACUCCUUUCGACCGCGAGGAAGCCACCUGGUUGGAAGGGUGGUGACGGUAGUGGUAGAAGAAGCACCGGCUAACUACGUG
rnacentral:rRNA from 1 species